AAAAAUGUGUCAAAAAACGUUUAUACAUUAUUGUAAUACCCAAAACAUAUUUAUGAUAACCAUAAUAAUUUUAUCAUUAUAUAGAAAUAUUUUAAAAUUUUAAGAAAUUAAUAGAAGGCCGAUCUUUUCUAUCUCUAUUGUUUAUUUACUGGUCGUCCGUACGCCCUCCAUCUCUGCCUGGUGGAUUAUUUUGUCAUCCUUUACUCAGUCCCUCCCGUCCAUGCAGCCUUGCGACCCGUCCUAUACUCAGCCCGACCUUUCCUUGCCACAUUUUCCUCGGUCCGGCCAGACCAUGCCGCUCUUUCCGCUGUCCGACCUUUCCAUGCAAGCUCCAGACAUGUCCUAUACACGGCACAUCCCGUCACCCUCUACUAGGCGUGGCCCGAACUUUACAGAGGAGGAGCUCGCUGAGUCUGACAAGGAGUCUGACGAGUAUUGAUGAUGAUAGUGGUUUUUAUUAUCAUAUUAUGUAGUACUGUACGAACAAUUGAAUUUAAUUUUAAGUAUUUGUAAUAUUUGUUUAAUUUGGAUAUGUUUAAUUUGUUUGGAUUGCUUAAUUU